rnacentral:lncRNA from 1 species
CUUAGAAAUUAUUUCCAUAAAUAGUCUUAUAAAAAUUAUAUUUAUGAGAUUGAUUUUAUUUUUAUAACGCAAGUUCUGUCUCCACCACAUAAGUUUCACGUGUGUCACGUGAACAUGACGGUAAGUUAAGUUGAACACGGUAAAUCAUUCACCAUUUUUAAACUCUGAAUACAAUGAAUGAUUUACCGUAUUUUUUCUAAUCUUAAACUUCAAACACGGUGAAUAGUUUAGCGCUUUUGACUAUAUUUAUAAUAUUGGCUCUAUUUCCACCACGCAAAUACGCUACAAGCACCACAUAUAGGUUAAGUUGAACACUGUGAACCAUUUAUUGUGUUAGGACUCUGGAUACAAUGAGUGAUUCACCAUAUCCUUUCUAAACCUUAAACUCCAAAUACCGUGAAUAAUUCGUCGUGUUCAAUUUACUACUUGCCAUUAUUUAUGUUUGCAUGGCGCUCGCGUGGCGCUUACGUAGUGGAACUAUGACCAAUCUUGUAAAUAUAAAUAUUGUAAAAUUAUUUAUAAAAAAAAUUUUAGGGAGCAAAAUGCAAAAAAAAAAAAAUUGCUCCCUAAAAAAACAAAAGCCCUUUUUUUUU